GCGCAACCCUUGUCCUUAGUUACCAGCACGUUAGUGUGGGCACUCUAAGGAGACUGCCGGUGACAAACCGGAGGAAGGUGGGGAUGACGUCAAGUCAUCAUGGCCCUUACGGCCUGGGCUACACACGUGCUACAAUGGUCGGUACAAAGGGUUGCCAAGCCGCGAGGUGGAGCUAAUCCCAUAAAACCGAUCGUAGUCCGGAUCGCAGUCUGCAACUCGACUGCGUGAAGUCGGAAUCGCUAGUAAUCGUGAAUCAGAAUGUCACGGUGAAUACGUUCCCGGGCCUU
rnacentral:rRNA from 1 species